GACGAACGCUGGCGGCGUGCUUAACACAUGCAAGUCGAACGAAGUGGCGAACGGGUGAGUAACGCGUAAUCAACCUGCCCUUCAGAGGGGGACAACAGUUGGCACCGACUGCUACUACCUCAUACUGAAGGAGGGGAUUGCGUCUGAUUAGCUAGUUGGAGGGGUAACGGCCCACCAAGGCGAUGAUCAGUAGACGGGCCGAGAAGAUGAACCGCAACAUUGGGACGGAGACACGGCCCAGACUCCUAAGGGAGGAAGCAAGGGGGAAUCUUCCGAAAGGGACGAAAGUCUGACGGAGCAACGCCGCGUGAGUGAGGGCGGCCUUCGGGUUGUAAAGCUCUGUUAAUCGGGACGCGGUACCGGAAUAGAAAGCCACGGCUAACUACGUGCCAGCCGCCGCGGUAAUAC
rnacentral:rRNA from 1 species